rnacentral:rRNA from 1 species
AGUGGGAGCCCCACCACUAAGCCAGUGGUGAACUCCACAUCCGCAUCCUUUGCUGAGGAUACGGUUAACGGAGCGAAAGCGACGUUCAACCGCAAAACAAGCAGAGGGGGCUUAGUGGUGGGGUGACUGCGUACCUUUUGUAUAAUGGGUCAGCGACUUAUAUUCUGUAGCAAGGUUAACCGAAUAGGGGAGCCGGAGGGAAACCGAGUCUUAAUUGGGCGUUAAGUUGCAGGGUAUAGACCCGAAACCCGGUGAUCUAGCCAUGGGCAGGUUGAAGGUUGGGUAACACUAACUGGAGGACCGAACCGACUAAUGUUGAAAAAUUAGCGGAUGACCUGUGGCUGGGGGUGAAAGGCCAAUCAAACCGGGAGAUAGCUGGUUCUCCCCGAAAGCUAUUUAGGUAGCGCCUCGUGAAUUCAUCUCCGGGGGUAGAGCACUGUUUCGGCUAGGGGGCCAUCCCGGCUUACCAACCCGAUGCAAACUGCGAAUACCGGAGAAUGUUAUCACGGGAGACACACGGCGGGUGCUAACGUCCGUCGUGAAGAGGGAAACAACCCAGACCGCCAGCUAAGGUCCCAAAGUCAUGGUUAAGUGGGAAACGAUGUGGGAAGGCCCAGACAGCCAGGAUGUUGGCUUAGAAGCAGCCAUCAUUUAAAGAAAGCGUAAUAGCUCACUGGUCGAGUCGGCCUGCGCGGAAGAUGUAACGGGGCUAAACCAUGCACCGAAGCUGCGGCAGCGAACGUAUCACCCAAGACAACUUUACGGAGUUGACGAUUGACGGAGCGAAGCGACGUCAAAGCGUUCAUUAAAGUCGAGUUGGCUUAGGGAUACGUUCGUUGGGUAGGGGAGCGUUCUGUAAGCCUGUGAAGGUGUGUCGUGAGGCAUGCUGGAGGUAUCAGAAGUGCGAAUGCUGACAUAAGUAACGAUAAAGCGGGUGAAAAGCCCGCUCGCCGGAAGACCAAGGGUUCCUGUCCAACGUUAAUCGGGGCAGGGUGAGUCGACCCCUAAGGCGAGGCCGAAAGGCGUAGUCGAUGGGAAACGGGUUAAUAUUCCCGUACUUGGUGUUACUGCGAAGGGGGGACGGAGAAGGCUAUGUUGGCCGGGCGACGGUUGUCCCGGUUUAAGCGUGUAGGUGUGUGUUCCAGGUAAAUCCGGUUCACUUUAACACUGAGGCGUGACGACGAGGCACUACGGUGCUGAAGCAACAAAUGCCCUGCUUCCAGGAAAAGCCUCUAAGCAUCAGGUAACACGAAAUCGUACCCCAAACCGACACAGGUGGUCAGGUAGAGAAUACCAAGGCGCUUGAGAGAACUCGGGUGAAGGAACUAGGCAAAAUGGUGCCGUAACUUCGGGAGAAGGCACGCUGACACGUAGGUGAAGUGAUUUACUCAUGGAGCUGAAGUCAGUCGAAGAUACCAGCUGGCUGCAACUGUUUAUUAAAAACACAGCACUGUGCAAACACGAAAGUGGACGUAUACGGUGUGACGCCUGCCCGGUGCCGGAAGGUUAAUUGAUGGGGUCAGCGUAAGCGAAGCUCCUGAUCGAAGCCCCGGUAAACGGCGGCCGUAACUAUAACGGUCCUAAGGUAGCGAAAUUCCUUGUCGGGUAAGUUCCGACCUGCACGAAUGGCGUAAUGAUGGCCAGGCUGUCUCCACCCGAGACUCAGUGAAAUUGAACUCGCUGUGAAGAUGCAGUGUACCCGCGGCAAGACGGAAAGACCCCGUGAACCUUUACUAUAGCUUGACACUGAACAUUGAGCCUUGAUGUGUAGGAUAGGUGGGAGGCUUUGAAGUGUGGACGCCAGUCUGCAUGGAGCCGACCUUGAAAUACCACCCUUUAAUGUUUGAUGUUCUAACGUGGACCCGUAAUCCGGGUUGCGGACAGUGUCUGGUGGGUAGUUUGACUGGGGCGGUCUCCUCCUAAAGAGUAACGGAGGAGCACGAAGGUUGGCUAAUCCUGGUCGGACAUCAGGAGGUUAGUGCAAUGGCAUAAGCCAGCUUGACUGCGAGCGUGACGGCGCGAGCAGGUGCGAAAGCAGGUCAUAGUGAUCCGGUGGUUCUGAAUGGAAGGGCCAUCGCUCAACGGAUAAAAGGUACUCCGGGGAUAACAGGCUGAUACCGCCCAAGAGUUCAUAUCGACGGCGGUGUUUGGCACCUCGAUGUCGGCUCAUCACAUCCUGGGGCUGAAGUAGGUCCCAAGGGUAUGGCUGUUCGCCAUUUAAAGUGGUACGCGAGCUGGGUUUAGAACGUCGUGAGACAGUUCGGUCCCUAUCUGCCGUGGGCGCUGGAGAACUGAGGGGGGCUGCUCCUAGUACGAGAGGACCGGAGUGGACGCAUCACUGGUGUUCGGGUUGUCAUGCCAAUGGCACUGCCCGGUAGCUAAAUGCGGAAGAGAUAAGUGCUGAAAGCAUCUAAGCACGAAACUUGCCCCGAGAUGAGUUCUCCCUGAGACUUAGAGUCUCCUGAAGGAACGUUGAAGACGACGACGUUGAUAGGCCGGGUGUGUAAGCGCAGCGAUGCGUUGAGCUAACCGGUACUAAUGAACCGUGAGGCUUAACCUUACAACGCCGAAG